rnacentral:rRNA from 1 species
CGGGGUGAGUAACGCGUGGGUAACCUGCCUCACACUGGGGGAGUAACAGUUAGAAAUAGCUGCUAAUACCGCAUAAGCGCACGGUUCCGCAUGGAACAGUGUGAAAAACUCCGGUGGUGUGAGAUGGACCCGCGUCUGAUUAGCCAGUUGGCGGGGUAACGGCCCACCAAAGCGAUGAUCAGUAGCCGGUCUGAGAGGAUGAACGGCCACAUUGGGACUGAGACACGGCCCAG